CCAGAGGAGCAUCCUGCGACCCUCGGGACGAGCCGCGCCGCGCCGAGUCUGCGCUGAGGCGUAGCCCUGCGAGGUGCGGGGCGGUUGCCCGGAGGAACCAACCACGUGACGCGAGGGUGGGCCCGUUCAGCCCCGCCCCCAGGCGCCACGGAGCGCAGAGGGGGCGGGGCUCGAGCGGCUCACGUUGCACGAGGCUUUCGACAGUUGUUCCUGGCUGCAGCCCCGUAAGGCCUCUACGUUGAGGGGUUCCGAGCGCUUCCGGGUUGGGGAACCCGUCCGCACGUUGGCAGAGUGACGCCCCCCAAGCUCCACGGAGACAGGAGCUCCGGCGCUCGGGGCGCCCCCGGGCCUCGCCCUCCACCGCUCUCUCUGGCUGUUCGUCCCUUUCUGAUAAACGGAGAUGAUGAGCUGUGUGGUCCUCAGUCCUCCCCUUUAAAGAGGAAGAUGGGGGAUGCUACCGAGGCCCUUCGUCCUCCAUGCCACUGAGCUGCGGAAGGCUUUGCAGAGGGUGGGGUGUACAAGGAAGCAGAACCCAGGGACCCUGCCACGCAGGAACCUGCAAGGAGCACACGAGGAUGAGAUGAACACACACUAAAAGGCUCAAGGACGAUGCAGAAAGCCUUGGUGUUACCCACAAACACUGCAGUUCUUUCCCCAUGCACCUCUAGUUCUACCAAGCCUUGGAAGUUCCUGGCUGCCUGGAGGCGGAAACCCAGACGAAGUAUUUAAACACACAGCGAAGGUCAUAUGCCACUUGAACCCAAGCAGUCUAGUUGGAGAAGCUGUGUUCAGACUGCCACAGCACUCUAUAGCCUUCCCUGAUUUAUGAGAGAGGAGCUUCGGACAUCACGCAGCUGACAGCCAGCUACCUCGAACCCAGUGAUAAAUACCAGGUCCUAUUACCAAAUUCUGAGUUGGCUGGAAAAGAUGAAAUCCUGGAUCCCAAAAGUGAAGAGGGGUAUUUCAAUACAACUCGCAGGUGCUAGAAACUUCUUCAGUAUUUUAUUCAUCAAAACCACUACUGUAUAAGAAACAAACAGGGGCUACCCCGGUGGUGCAGCGGUUAAGAAUCUGCCUGCCAGUUCAGGGGACAGGGGUUCGAGCCCCGGUCCGGGAAGAUCCCACAUGCCGCAAAGCAAC